ACUAACAGGAUUCCCCUAGUAACUGCGAGUGAAGCGGGAAAAGCUCAAAUUUAAAAUCUGGCGGUCUCUGGCCGUCCGAGUUGUAAUCUAGAGAAGUAAUGCCCGUGCUGGACCGUGUAUAAGUCUCCUGGGAUGGGGCGUCAUAGAGGGUGAGAAUCCCGUCUUUGACACGGACUACCAGUGCAUUGUGGUAUGCUCUCAAAGAGUCGAGUUGUUUGGGAAUGCAGCUCAAAAUGGGUGGUAAAUUCCAUCUAAAGCUAAAUAUUGGCGAGAGACCGAUAGCGAACAAGUACCGUGAGGGAAAGAUGAAAAGAACUUUGGAAAGAGAGUUAAACAGUACGUGAAAUUGCUGAAAGGGAAACGCUUGAAGUCAGUCGCGUUGACUAGGGAUCAGCCUUGCUUUUGCAUGGUGUACUUUCUGGUUGACGGGUCAGCAUCAAUUUUGACCGCUGGAAAAGGGCCUGGGGAAUGUGGCAGCUUCGGCUGUGUUAUAGCCCCUGGUUACAUACGGCGGUUGGGAUUGAGGAACUCAGCACGCCGCAAGGCCGGGUUUCGACCACGUUCGUGCUUAGGAUGCUGGCAUAAUGGCUUUAAGCGACCCGUCUUGAAACACGGACCAAGGAGUCUAACAUGCCUGCGAGUAUUUGGGUGAAAAACCCGAGUGCGUAAUGAAAGUGAAAGUUGAGAUCCCUGUCGUGGGGAGCAUCGACGCCCGGACCAGAACUUUUGGGACGGAUCCGCGGUGGAGCAUGUAUGUUGGGACCCGAAAGAUGGUGAACUAUGCCUGAAUAGGGUGAAGCCAGAGGAAACUCUGGUGGAGGCUCGUAGCGAUUCUGACGUGCAAAUCGAUCGUCAAAUUUGGGUAUAGGGGCGAAAGACUAAUCG
rnacentral:rRNA from 1 species